CAUGUCAGCGCGCUUUGCUGACAUGGCAACAAAUCGCGCUUCAGAGGACGCGAUUUGUGUCCACGUCAACAAAGUGCGCUGACGUGG
rfam:Gossypium hirsutum cultivar TM-1 chromosome 5, whole genome shotgun sequence